AUUGAACGCUGGCGGCAUGCUUUACACAUGCAAGUCGAACGGCAGCACGGGGGCAACCCUGGUGGCGAGUGGCGAACGGGUGAGUAAUAUAUCGGAACAUGUCCGGAAGUGGGGGAUAACGUAGCGAAAGUUACGCUAAUACCGCAUAUGCCCUGAGGGGGAAAGGGGGGGAUCGCGAGACCUCUCGCUUUCGGAGUGGCCGAUAUCAGAUUAGCUAGUUGGUGGGGUAAAGGCCUACCAAGGCAACGAUUUGUAGCUGGUCUGAGAGGACGACCAGCCAGACUGGGACUGAGACACGGCCCAGACUCCUACGGGAGGCAGCAGUGGGGAAUUUUGGACAAUGGGGGCAACCCUGAUCCAGCCAUGCCGCGUGAGUGAAGAAGGCCUUCGGGUUGUAAAGCUCUUUCGGACAGAAAGAAAUCGUGCAGAAUAAUACUCUGUAUGGAUGACGGUACUGUAAGAAGAAGCACCGGCUAACUACGUGCCAGCCGCCGCCGUAA
rnacentral:rRNA from 1 species